rnacentral:rRNA from 1 species
UACGAAGGGGGCUAGCGUUGUUCGGAAUCACUGGGCGUAAAGCGCAUGCAGGCGGAUCGUUAAGUCGGGGGUGAAAGCCCGAGGCUCAACCUCGGAACUGCCUUCGAUACUGGCGAUCUUGAGUCCGGGAGAGGUGAGUGGAACUCCGAGUGUAGAGGUGAAAUUCGUAGAUAUUCGGAAGAACACCAGUGGCGAAGGCGGCUACCUGGCCCAAUACUGACACUCAGGUGCGAAAGCGUGGGGAGCAAACAGG